rnacentral:rRNA from 1 species
GACGAACGCUGGCGGCGUGCCUAAUACAUGCAAGUAGAACGCUGAAGAGAGGAGCUUGCUCUGCUUGGAUGAGGCGCGAACGGGUGAGUAACGCGUAGGUAACCUGCCUUGUAGCGGGGGAUAACUAUUGGAAACGAUAGCUAAUACCGCAUAACAAUGGAUGACACAUGGCAUUUAUUUGAAAGGGGCAAUUGCGCCACUACAAGAUGGACCUGCGUUGUAUUAGCUAGUAGGUGAGGUAAUGGCUCACCUAGGCGACGAUACAUAGCCGACCUGAGAGGGCGGUCCGCCACCCUGGGACGGGGACCCGGCCCAGACUCCUUCGGGAGGCAGCAGUAGUGCAUCUUCGGCAAUGGGGGCAACCCUGACCGAGCAACGCCGCGUGAGUGUAGAAGGUUUUCGGGUCGUAAAGCUCUGUUGUCGGUCAAGAACGGGUGUGAGAGUGGAAAGUUCACACUGUGACGGUAGCUGAUCAGAAAGGGACGGCUAACUACGUG